rnacentral:rRNA from 1 species
GACGAACGCUGGCGGCGUGCUUAACACAUGCAAGUCGAACGGGCCUUGUCCCCUUUUUUUUGGGGGUGGGGUUAGUGGCGAACGGGUGAGUAACACGUGAGUAACCUGCCCCUCACUUCUGGAUAACCGCUUGAAAGGGUGGCUAAUACGGGGUGUUCUGGCCUGCUCGCAUGGGUGGGUUUGGAAAGAUUCGACCGGUUUUGGUUGUUUUGGUUGGGGAUGGGCUCGCGGCCUAUCAGCUUGUUGGUGGGGUGAUGGCCUGCCAAGGCUUUGACGGGUAGCCGGCCUGAGAGGGUGGGCGGUCACGCUGGGACUGAGACACGGCCCAGACUCCUACGGGAGGCAGCAGUGGGGAAUAUUGCACAAUGGGCGCAAGCCUGAUGCAGCGACGCAGCGUGAGGGAUGGAGGCCUUCGGGUUGUGAACCUCUUUCGCCAGUGAAGAAGGUCCUGCUCUUUGUGGUGGGGUUGACGGUAGCUGGGUUAAUGAAGCGCCGGCUAACUACGUG